UGAGGGAAAGCUGCAAAGUACUCUGAAGAGAGAGUUCAAAAGGACGUGAAGCCGUCUGCAGGGAAACGGGUGAGACCGCACGGUAGACCCGCGGCGGAUUCAGCUCCGGGGGCAACCUCGGGGUGCACUUCCGCGCCUGCGGGUCGCGCAGGGCCCGACUCGACGGCCGUCUGAAGCCCGGCGAGGAGGUGACGGGGUUCUUCGGAUCUCCGAGUUUAACUCGUCGGCGCGGAGACCGGCUGUUGGGUCGAGGAACGUCCAUCCGUCUUUGACGCGUGGG
rnacentral:rRNA from 1 species